rnacentral:misc_RNA from 1 species
AAGUCGUAACAAGGUAACCGUAGGUGAACCUGUGGUUGGAUCACUACCAAUCCUAUAUAUUGUUUCUGGGUGUCUCGGCACCCAAACUUGUAAACCACUAUCAGCCUGAUACAAUUUAUAUAAUAAAAACAACUUUUAACAACGGAUCUCUUGGCUCUC